rnacentral:rRNA from 1 species
CUCGAAUUUAAAAGAGUUAAAUUAAAAUAUAUUUUAUUGUGUCAAAAAUAUUUAAAAUUUUAAUUUAGAAGUUAUAUGUUAUUCAUUUUUAAGUAUAUCUAGUUUUUAAAGAAACAAAUUUAAUUUGAUUUAUAUUAAUAUAGAAAAUUUAUAUUUUUUUUGUUUAUAUAAUUUUAUUGGUUUUGGGAUAAGCUAAAAUUAAUAUUUUUAUUAUUUUGUAUUUAUUUUUAGAUUGAUAGGAUUAGAAAUUUUCAUUUUUAAAAUUAUGUUAUAAUUUUUCUAGGUUUAUAAAUAUUUCAAUUUGUAUAAGUUUUUUAUUUAAAUUUUUAUUUUAAUUUUAAAAUUAAAGUAAUAAUGAUAAAAUUAGUAAAAAUAUAUUUAUAUUUGUUUUUUAGUUUUAAGUAAUAAUUAGGAAUUCGGCAAAUGGUUUUUCACCUGUUUAUUAAAAACAUGUCUUCUUGAUUAUAAUUUGAAGUCUGACCUGCUCUAUGAAUUUUAAAUGGCCGCAGUAUUUUGACUGUGCUAAGGUAGCAUAAUAAUUAGUUUCUUAAUUAGAAGCUUGUAUGAAUGGUUUGAUGAAAAAACUUCUUUCUUAUUAUUAAUUACUUUGAAUUUUAUCUUUAAGUAAAAAAGCUUAAAUAUUUUUAUGGGACGAGAAGACCCUUUAGAAUUUUAUAAAUCUAAAAAUUGAUUUUUUUAGAAUUUAUAAAUUGAUUUAUUAGUUUUAUUUAAUUGGGGUGAUUAAAAAAUUUAAUAAACUUUUUUUAUUAAAAACAUUUUAAAAGGUUUUUUGAUCCGUUUUAACGAUUAAAAGAAAAAAUUACCUAAGGGAUAACAGCGUUAUAAUUUUUAAGAGUUCUUAUCGAAAAAAUUGAUUGCGACCUCGAUGUUGGAUUAGAAUUUCUUCUUGGUGCAGAAGCUAAGAGUGAAGGUCUGUUCGACCUUUAAAUUUCUACAUGAUCUGAGUUUAGACCGGCGUGAGCCAGGUUGGUUUCUAUCUUUAAAUUAUGAUAAUAUUUUAGUACGAGAGGAUUAAAUA